GGGGGCGAUCGGCUUCGACGGGGAUAGCGAAAUCGCUUGGUGCAUGCCGAGGGGGCGACUUUCCUCGUUAAUCCAGUAGCAAACUUUUAGUUGCCAACGACGACAACUACGCUCUCGCCGCUUAAGGCGUAAGCCCCGAACCUGCUUGUGUCCGUGCUCGCAGAUGUAGGGUCACUAUCACGGAAUCGCUGAUGAUUGCCGCGGGUCGCGCAUCGGCUAACUCUUAACCCGCUGGUCCUGCGGUGCGCUUUGCACGCCGUGUUGCCGCAGGACGAGAAUAAACGGCGCGCUAAGCAUGUAGAGCCAGGGACGUAGCAUCUUCGGACGGGGGUUCGAUUCCCCCCGCCUCCACCA
rnacentral:tmRNA from 1 species